rnacentral:rRNA from 1 species
UACGUAGGGGGCUAGCGUUGUCCGGAAUCAUUGGGCGUAAAGAGCGUGUAGGCGGCCCGGUAAGUCCGCUGUGAAAGUCGGGGGCUCAACCCUCGAAUGCCGGUGGAUACUGUCGGGCUAGAGUGCGGAAGAGGCGAGUGGAAUUCCUGGUGUAGCGGUGAAAUGCGCAGAUAUCAGGAGGAACACCUAUUGCGAGGGCAGCUCGCUGGGACGUAACUGACGCUGAGACGCGAAAGCGUGGGGAGCAAACAGG